GCCCAAGAUUGAAAGCUGGCGUCUUCGGCGUCCGCAUUGUAAUCUCAAGAAGUGUUUUCCGCUUCGGACCAAGCCUAAGUCCCCUGGAAAGGGGCAUCAUAGAGGGUGAUAAUCCCGUACAUGGCUUGGAGCGCCCGAGGCUUUGUGAUACGCUUUCUAAGAGUCGAGUUGUUUGGGAAUGCAGCUCAAAAUGGGUGGUAAAUGCCAUCUAAGGCUAAAUAUUGGGGAGAGACCGAUAGCGAACAAGUACAGUGAUGGAAAGAUGAAAAGAACUUUGAAAAGAGAGUUAAACAGUACGUGAAAUUGCCAAAAGGGAAGGGUAGGAGGUCAGAGAUGCGGCCUGGGAUUCAGCCUUGCUUUUGCUUGGUGUUUUUCCCAGAUUGCAGGCCAACGUCGGUUUUGGGCACUGGAGAAGGGUAGGAGGAACGUGGCACCUCUCGGGGUGUGUUAUAGCCUCCUACUGGAUACAGCGACCGAGACCGAGGACAGCAGCGUACUCGCAAGAGCGGGCCUUCGGGCACCUUUACGCUUAGGGCGUUGGCAUAAUGGCCCUCUACCACCCGUCUUGA
rnacentral:rRNA from 1 species